rnacentral:rRNA from 1 species
AGCGACGCAUACCGGAGGGGUAACCCACUGGUAUGACGGAGCGGCGAACGGGUGAGUAACACGUGAGUAACCUGCCCCACAGACCGGGACAGCCCAGGGAAACCUGGAUUAAUACCGGAUACCCUCGGGGGAUCGCAUGAUCUUUCGAGGAAAUGCCUUUGUGCUGUGGGAUGGACUCGCGACUUAUCAGCUAGUUGGUGGGGUAACGGCCUACCUAGGCGUCGACGAGUAGCUGGUCUGAGAGGACGAUCAGCCACACUGGGACUGAGACACGGCCCAGACUCCUACGGGAGGCAGCAGCAGGGAAUCUUGCGCAAUGGGCGAAAGCCUGACGCAGCAACGCCGCGUGGGGGAUGAAGGCCAUCGGGUUGUAAACCCCUUUCAGGAGGGAAGAAAUUGACGGUACCUCCAAAAGAAGCACCGGCCAACUACGUGCCAGCAGCCGCGGUAAUACGUAGGGUGCGAGCGUUAUCCGGAAUCAUUGGGCGUAAAGAGCUCGUAGGCGGUUCAGCAAGUCGGCUGUGAAAUUUCGAGGCUCAACCUCGAAACUGCAGUCGAAACUGCUGUGACUCGAGUCCGGUAGAGGAGAAUGGAAUUCCCGGUGUAGCGGUGAAAUGCGCAGAUAUCGGGAGGAACACCAGUAGCGAAGGCGGUUCUCUGGGCCGGCACUGACGCUGAGGAGCGAAAGCGUGGGUAGCAAACAGGAUUAGAUACCCUGGUAGUCCACGCCGUAAACGUUGGAUAU